GCUUGUUUCAGCAGACAUACACUAAAGCUGGAAUGACACAGAGAAGACUAGCAUGGCCCCUGAUCAAGGAUGAUACACAAACUCGUGAAGUAUUCCAUAUUUUU
ensembl:snRNA U6 U6 spliceosomal RNA